CCCGGCCCCACUCCUCCUGCUGCUGAAGCUGCCAGAGGAGCUGUUGAAAGAGUGUUUUUUUUAAUGCGGGCCACCAGUAUAUCUCUGCGUCAGCUGCAGUCUGCUUUGGAUCAGCCUGUCCAACAUGGACAGCAACAGAAUGCGCACACAGAGGGACCUGCAGAAGAUCACAGCAGCAACCUGCUUACCCCCAGAGAAGAACCUGUCUGCGGCCGCAGGGGGGCAGAGGGGAGCGCUCCAUUUCACUCAGGGGACAUUCUGGAAAAGAUCACAGAUGCAAUAUUAAGAAUGGCUCAAUCAAACACAACAAAGUUGCCAUCCAAGUUUAUGUUGCAGAUAGGAAAACUCCCCAAGCACUGCCUUUCUUACUCCAUGGUUCAGUGUGACCCCAUUAAUUGUGAAUGUUGCACUCUCAAUGUCACUCUGACUUGUGCUCGGAGGAGCCAAGCAUCAUUUUGUUGGAGAUUGUUAAUUGAGGUAGAAACAUAGUUGGAGGAGGAUUACUUGUUCCCUGCCUGCUACCGAAAAAGUAAUUCAAAUAAAAACAUCAUUGAGCUCACAUAAUUAGUUUUUCAGUGACUGGCUGAACAUCAUUAUUAUGCUCAGCUCAUACCAUUGUACUUAAUUGAGGAGGAUCCUUUUUUUCUGACUAGAUAAUUUUGGGUAUGGUUUGUCUUUGAAAGUUGGAGAACUUCAACAAAUGUUACUGUGGUAGACAGGUCUGCACUUUUUGGACAGUUUUGGACCUUAAUAAAGUACCAAUAGAUAGCAUGCUAGCACUGACCAAGAGGGGGGAACAUAGUAAACACCGGCUUAAAGGUAUACUUUCUGACCUGCUUACAAAGCUUCCACUCAUUUUUAAAUAU